UUGGCUCAGAACGAACGCUGGCGGCGUGCCUAAUACAUGCAAGUCGAGCGAACAGAUGAGAAGCUUGCUUCUCUGAUGUUAGCGGCGGACGGGUGAGUAACACGUGGGUAACCUACCUAUAAGACUGGGAUAACUCCGGGAAACCGGGGCUAAUACCGGAUAAUAUUUUGAACCGCAUGGUUCAAUAGUGAAAGACGGUUUCGGCUGUCACUUAUAGAUGGACCCGCGCCGUAUUAGCUAGUUGGUAAGGUAACGGCUUACCAAGGCGACGAUACGUAGCCGACCUGAGAGG
rnacentral:rRNA from 1 species